rnacentral:rRNA from 1 species
AGAGUUUGAUCCUGGCUCAGGAUGAACGCUAGCUACAGGCUUAACACAUGCAAGUCGAGGGGAAACGACAUCGAAAGCUUGCUUUUGAUGGGCGUCGACCGGCGCACGGGUGAGUAACGCGUAUCCAACCUGCCCACCACUUGGGGAUAACCUUGCGAAAGUAAGACUAAUACCCAAUGACGUCUCUAGAAGACAUCUGAAAGAGAUUAAAGAUUUAUCGGUGAUGGAUGGGGAUGCGUCUGAUUAGCUUGUUGGCGGGGUAACGGCCCACCAAGGCAACGAUCAGUAGGGGUUCUGAGAGGAAGGUCCCCCACAUUGGAACUGAGACACGGUCCAAACUCCUACGGGAGGCAGCAGUGAGGAAUAUUGGUCAAUGGACGAGAGUCUGAACCAGCCAAGUAGCGUGCAGGAUGACGGCCCUAUGGGUUGUAAACUGCUUUUAUAAGGGAAUAAAGUGAGUCUCGUGAGACUUUUUGCAUGUACCUUAUGAAUAAGGACCGGCUAAUUCCGUGCCAGCAGCCGCGGUAAUACGGAAGGUCCGGGCGUUAUCCGGAUUUAUUGGGUUUAAAGGGAGCGUAGGCCGGAGAUUAAGCGUGUUGUGAAAUGUAGACGCUCAACGUCUGCACUGCAGCGCGAACUGGUUUCCUUGAGUACGCACAAAGUGGGCGGAAUUCGUGGUGUAGCGGUGAAAUGCUUAGAUAUCACGAAGAACUCCGAUUGCGAAGGCAGCUCACUGGAGCGCAACUGACGCUGAAGCUCGAAAGUGCGGGUAUCGAACAGGAUUAGAUACCCUGGUAGUCCGCACGGUAAACGAUGGAUGCCCGCUGUUGGUCUGAAUAGGUCAGCGGCCAAGCGAAAGCAUUAAGCAUCCCACCUGGGGAGUACGCCGGCAACGGUGAAACUCAAAGGAAUUGACGGGGGCCCGCACAAGCGGAGGAACAUGU